GACCCUGGCAGCUCCAGUCAGCACUGCUGACUGGGUCGUUAAAAGUCCAGUUGGCGCUGCAGGCAGACUCCCUGCCCGGCUCCGUGCAACUCCCGGAAAGCUGUCAGCAUGUCCCUCUGGGUCCUAAGCGGAGGGACGGCCACGGGGGAAGAGAAGUAGAGGAUGGGGCCAUGAAGGGCGCCGAGCUCCUGCAGUGUCCCAUUUAAAAUUUUGAAAAGGUGGUUACCCUACUCUCGACUGUGCUGGGAGCCCCCUGCGGGCUUGCUGUCAGCGUGGGGAGUCCCCUUCAGGCACACUGUCAGUGCUGCCCUAACUCUAACCCUGCCCUUAAUUUCCUGCAACUGUGAAAAUUCAGAUCAAUAAAAAAUCGGGGGGGGGGAUGCUUAACACCUAUAGUUUUGUGCAACUGAGAAAAUUCAAACCCAUAAACAUAAUUUUAAAAUGCUUGAAAAUAAAAAAAAUUGAAAUUACAAAAAAAUAAAAAUGGAAUUCAGCCAAGCCUAACCAUAUGAUCUGAUUAAUUUACCAAUUGCCAAAAAGGGAGUUGCUAACAAACAAUGCACUUCAGCCUGGAC